rnacentral:misc_RNA from 1 species
GAAAUGCGAUAAGUAAUGUGAAUUGCAGAAUUCAGUGAAUCAUCGAAUCUUUGAACGCACAUUGCGCCCGCCAGUAUUCUGGCGGGCAUGCCUGUCCGAGCGUCAUUUCAACCAUCAAGCCCCCGGGCUUGUGUGUUGGGUCGUCGUCCCCUCCGGGGGACGGGCCCGAAAGGCAGCGGCGGCACCGCGUCCGGUCCUCGAGCGUAUGGGGCUUUGUCACCCGCUCGAUAAGGACCGGCCGGGCGCCAGCCGGCGUCUCCAACCUUUUUUUCUCAGGUUGACCUCGGAUCAGGUAGGGAUACCCGCUGAACUUAAGC